rnacentral:siRNA from 1 species
GAGUGUUGUUGUCUUCACCUACA